ensembl:lncRNA
GUUAAAUUUUAGUACUGAUAAUUUCAGAAAUAAUUUCAAGAUUUAUCUUCUUCUUUUUUAAAAAUAGAUAUUUGAAAGUAACUCCACCAAACACUACUGCAAGACCUGCCACUACCAUGGCAACAAAAUAUCUUGAAAAUGCUAAAGAAUAUAGAUAAAAAAGUGUUCCAUGGGAUAUGUCUGUGUCAUACUUACAAAAAUCUAGAAGGAGAUACUCUUCACCUUUACAUGAUGCCAUGAAGCUCAUUGAAGUCCAGUCAUUAUUUUAUUCUUAGAAGGUUAGAGAACAGAUUGAUCAUUGGUUUACAUUUUUGC